rnacentral:misc_RNA from 1 species
ACGGACGAAGGCGACUACCAGAUCAAGAUGCGCAAUCUGCGUCGCUUCAUCGCUGAAGACGGCGACAAGGGCAAGGUCACGCUGCGUUAUCGCGGCCGCGAAAUCACCCACCAGGACAUCGGCAUGCGCAUGCUGGAGCGCAUUCGUGAUGAGCUGUCGGAUGUGGCGGUUGUUGAGCACAUGCCCAAGCUCGAAGGUCGUCAGAUGAUCAUGGUGCUGGCGCCCAAGAAACGGUCCUGAUGCGGCCGUCCUGAUGCUUCCGGCUCCGCAGCGACGCGGGGCCAUCCCCCACCCCUACAGGGUGGGU